rnacentral:rRNA from 1 species
UACGUAGGGUGCAAGCGUUGUCCGGAAUUAUUGGGCGUAAAGAGCUCGUAGGCGGUUUGUCGCGUCUGCUGUGAAAACUCGGGGCUCAACUCCGAGCUUGCAGUGGGUACGGGCAGACUAGAGUGCGGUAGGGGAGACUGGAAUUCCUGGUGUAGCGGUGGAAUGCGCAGAUAUCAGGAGGAACACCGGUGGCGAAGGCGGGAUCUC